UGGUGUUCCCUCCCUUGUGGAGUUUUCCUGUGAGUGUAGAUCUUCAGAGACAGCUCCCUCUGUUGGCCCUGCAGAGUACCCAGGUUUGUCUCCCAGCUACUAUUGAAGGAGGGACCUUCAAUGCCAGGGUCCCCUCAAGAGAGAAAAGGCAUAUAAAAAGGAAGCUGAAAUUCCUCAAGGAUAACGUUCUACAUGCUAGCAGGGAGGCAUCCCUACCAUGAGAACAUUCCGAAAAUAGAUCACAGAAAUGCAUUUCUACCAGGGUUCAGCAGUCCAAAGGAAGAAAUAUCACUUCUUUAAUUUGAAGCCCUUUGGAAAUUUGGUCUUCACUCAGCCUAACACAUGAUAAAAGUAAACAAUUCUAAGGAGGACCACAAAAAACAUUGGGAAUGCCGGGGAAUUAUUUUUGGCCACUGAGGUACUUGCAUGUAGCUGGCACCUUGAACAUCAAGAUAUUGGUCAGUCUUGCUUGGACAUAGUGUUUAUAUCAUAUUGCUGAUUCCAUGUCCUCUAAACGGAUGUUCAAAAUAAAUGCCUUUCUUUAUGCAAGAACUCAAUGCUUCCUCCUCAAGUAGAAACUAGCAGUAGAAAAUCAUGAUGCUAAAAUAGUU